UCUCUCAUUUUCUAACCUAGACACACAUUAAAAGACAUAAGGAAAAUCAGACUCCUCUCUCACAGACCAAAAAACGGCGCAACCCAGCUCCCUUCUUCUGUUUGCUUUUUUCAUUUCUCAAAACACACACACAUCAAUCAUACCCACACACCUAGGCUGCUGGAAGAAGAAACAUGCAUUUCGAAAUUUAAGAUCGAGAAAACCAAAAAGGAACGAAAAGCUAUAAAAAGAAGAAGAAGAAGAAGGACGAACAAUAGAGUGAUUGGUUGUUUCAGAUUCAAUUGAUUCACAAUCAAACUUGUGGUUAUUUGUUGUCGAUUCCGAAUUGAUUUGCCUGGGUUCAAAAUUUCCUUCCUCUUGUUCGGGAUUGUUCUUGCUGUUCAUCACUGAUGAACUUCACGAAUUAGGAGUUCUAGGCUUUUAUUUGGUUUUUGAGCUAUUGUUUCCCUGCUUUAGGAGUGUUUAAACACCCCAAAAUUGCUGAUUGACUGUUGAAUAUAUGGCUGCUUGUUGGGUCUUGUCAUCUUCAUUUGUGCUCGAGUUUGGCCGAUUCAAUUCCUGACUCAGGCAUUAGGUUAUGAUGUUCGGUCGUGUCCUAGCCUCGUCACUACUUCACCAAGAUCCCGGUACUGGACCUUACGAAUCGUAGUUCGAGGUUGAUGCCUACAGUCUAGUGGAGACCCAAGGUAGUCCUGCAGGCGUCCGUAGGCCUUGAUGUCUCCUUCUAUCAUAUUUACAUUCUGUUUUUAUCUAUUUAUGAUAUAGAUGUGUAUUUUCCUUAUUCAGACCACUAUUCAUAGAUUCGUAGACAGUUCGUGAAAUUGUGACAUUAGUUCUAGGGGAAGUUUCAUUUUGGAUUUUAUAUUAAUAUUUAGUUAAAC